AGUGGGGGAUAUUGCACAAUGGGGGGAACCCUGAUGCAGCGACGCCGCGUGGGUGAAGGAGCGUUUCGGCGCGUAAAGCCCUGUCAGCGGGGAAGAACAAGAUGACGGUACCCGACCAAGAAGCCCCGGCUAACUACGUGCC
rnacentral:rRNA from 1 species